rnacentral:rRNA from 1 species
UACGGAGGGUGCAAGCGUUAUCCGGAUUUACUGGGCUUAAAGGGUGCGUAGGUGGGUAGGUAAGUCAGUGGUGAAAUCUUCGAGCUUAACUCGGAAACUGCCAUUGAUACUAUUUAUCUUGAAUACUUUGGAGGUAAGCGGAAUAUGUCAUGUAGCGGUGAAAUGCUUAGAUAUGACAUAGAACACCAAUGGCGAAGGCAGCUUACUACACAGUUAUUGACACUGAGGCACGAAAGCGUGGGGAUCAAACAGG